UGUGGUUUGGUAGUUUCUCACUUUGCCCCCCUGUGGUUUAAAGUGUAUCAAUUUGCCUCCUGUGGUUUCGUUUUUAUCUUUUCGGUAGCUUUUUCGUUAAUAUUUCAUUAAAUUAUAUACAAAAAAACUUCAGAUAUCCACCUAGAUUUAUCAAAUAUUCACUUUAGUACCCUUUAAUUUUAACUUUAUUACUGAUUUAAAGAAAAAAAAUAAUAAUGAAAUUGAUAAGAAAAAGAGAAAAAAGAAACCACAGGGGGGCAAAGUGAGAAACUACGAAACCACAGGGGGGUUUUUGAAGUUUUUCCUUAUAUUUUGUUAGCACGCUCUUCAUAUAAGCCAGACUCUUUAAUACCGAGUUAAUUUGUGAAAUUGUUUGUAGAAUCAAGAGCAAUCGUGAGGUACUAUGGUGCCAAGUACGUAGGGAAAGGACCGAACCUAUUAGGUCGAACACUCGAGGAGAAGGCUCGGGUCGAUCAAUGGCUCGAUGCGGAGGCCAUCAACUACAAUCCCUUGGUGUUCCCUAUAGUCUUCAACCUUUUCGUGCUUCCCCGCAGUGGUGUUCCCGGAAAUAAGGCCGAGGCCGAGGCUGCCGUCGAGAAGCUCGACAAGGUGCUCGAGAUUUACGAGCGACAGCUAUCGAAGACCAAGUACUUAGCUGGAAAUGAAUUUACUCUAGCCGAUCUAACUCACAUUCCAGCCACACGGUACAUUAUUGAAAACUUGAAGAGCGCAUAACUUUAUAAUUUGAUUAGACUAGGAUAGGCGACUAACCUCUUUCUAUUUGCAAUUUGACCUACGAACUUUAAUUGAUGCAAAAUUGCGCAUAACUUGCUUUUAGUUUCAAAUUGAUCAACAAAGUUGGAGUCGAUAAGAAAGAAAUCAGUAGUUAUCUAAUUAAUGUCGCAUAUUAGUUACGGUGCAUAAAAUUCUUCUUGCAUCAAAAUAGAUUUUAGUGGCUAAGUUAUUAAUUUCCAGUUUCCGCCAAUCCAAAUCUAGUAAACUAAGAAAAAUAGUGAGUUCUCUUGGCACCAAAUUAGAGAUUGUUGGGUCAAAAUGCAAUGUGAGAUAAAAUAAGUGGAUUUUUAAAAAAAAGUUUCACCUCCUAUUAUAUUAUGUGUAGUAUUCUUUCUUGCAUGUUAGAAUUAUAAGAGGGGGAGUUAAAAUCCUUGCUAUGAUAUCAAGUAAAUUUGAGUACAAGGCCUUAAAAUUUUACUUUAAAUAUUUUUAUAUUUAACACUUUUCUUCAUAUCUGGACUUGUGACUUUUUGCUCAGCCCAUGACAUGGACUUAAAUUAAAUAAUAAUGCUAAGAGUCUGGCGUGACUUGAACUUAGAAUUUUCUGCUCUAAUAUCACGUUAAAUAAUACGAAACAAUCAUUGUACUUUAAAAACUUAAGUUGAUAGAGAACUGUGUUUAAAUAUUUUUAUAUUUAACAUUUUAUAGGUAUCUAGUCGAGAACUGCAAUAUGGAUCACCUAAUUACUGGGAAGAAGCAUGUAAAGGCGUGGUGGGAGGACAUCACCAGCCGACCGGCGUGGAAGAAGACAAUGAGCUUUGUGGAAUCCAGGGUUUCACACUUUUAUCCAUGAGGAUUAGUACAACAAAAAAUUAUAGAUUAAUAAAUUUAAGUUUGAUCAUCGUCAUCUAAUAAAAUUAUGUGUAUGGAGGAGAUCUAUGCAAGAUGCAUAAUUUCACAAUAUAAUGAUGCGUUUAAAUGUUUAUGAAUGUACGAUUCCCCACUGGUUUUUUAUUUAGUUUUUGUUUGAAGUGUCAAAUGAGUUUUUUUUUUUUUUACGGCUUUGAUAGUGUGUCAAAUAGAUUCGUAAAUUUUUAAUUUUGAUAACUAAAUUUUUGGAACUUCGUCAAAUAAUCCGACAAAUCCUUCUUCUCAGGCAAAAUCAUUAAUUAAACAGCCACUCUCGACACAAUCUUAUACGUAGAAUUGUCAAAUAGAAUUACUAAAUAUAUGAUUCUCUAACAACUUAAGUUUUUGAUUAAAAAUAAAUAUUUCAUAUAAUUAAACAUGAUAUCAAAAUAGGGGUAUGAGUUCGAGUCGCACCAAAUGUUUCAUAUAAUUUAACAAAAUUUUUGUAUAAUUUUUAAAGCAUGUUGAAAUAUGUCUUUUAUAUUCUAACACUUAAAAGCCAUUUAUCUUAGGAAAAACUUCAAAAACCCCCCCUGUGGUUUCGUGCAUUCUCACUUUGCUACCCUGUGGUUUAAAACGUAUCAAUUUGCCCCCAUGUGGUUUCGUUUUUAUCUUUUUGUUAUCAAUUUUAUUAUUAUUAUUUUUUUAAAUCAGUGACAAAGUUAAAAUUAAAGGAUACUAAAGUGACUAUUCGAUAAAUAUAGAUGGUUAUCUGAAGUUUUUUGUAUAUAAUUUAACGAAAUAUUAACGAAAAAGCUUUCGAAAAGAUAAAAAUGAAACCACAGGGGGGUAAAUUAAUACGUUUUAAACCACAGGGUAGCAAAGUAAGAAUGCACGAAACCACGGGGGGUUUUGAAGUUUUCCCUUUAUUUAUUUUUUCAUCAUGAUAAAUUUAUUUCUUCUGUGACAAGAGAAGAACCAUUAGGGCUCCUACCCAAGUCCAUUGUCCGAGGGUCUAGCAACCCUUGGACAGCGGCCCAACGGCUCAAUUAGCCGUUGGUUGAGUCCUUUUUUUUUUUUUUUUUUUGUCUUUCCUGAAAAAAAAAAUAUUUUAUUAUUACUUUUUUAAAAAAUGGGUUCAAAAAUUAAAAAAAGAUGUUUUUUUUAAUUAAAAUGACCACAAUGCCCUCACUAAUAUUAAAAAAUUUGACCGUUAGAGAUGGCAUUUUGGUCAAAAACUAAAAAAUAUUUUUUUAUAUUUUUUUAAAACUAUUUUUUAUAUCUAUAAAUACUACUACAAACAUCAAAAUUCAUCACAACAAAUAACUCUUCAUUCAUUUUCUUCUACAAACACUAAUUCCUCCCACUCUUAAACUUUCAAUCUAAAAUUUUUUCUCUCUCAAUUCUCAAGUUUACUUUGCAAAUAUUUUUAAUUUUUUCCAACAAUUUUUUUUUACAAAGUCUCUCCACAAUUUCACAAUACAAAAUUUUAUUUUCAACACAUAAUUAAUCUCUUUUUAAAAAAAAAUUUAUUUAAUUAUUUUUAGUAUUAUUGUGUUUAUUUUUUAUAAUAAUAUUCGAUGAAUUUUUUCAUAUACAUUUUUCUUGCACUGAUUAUACUCCUGAGUAUUAUAUUAGUAAUCAAUCAGAAACUGGAGUCGGUGGUUCUACACAAGGUGGCGACAGCUCGCAACCUAAACCAAAUUUAGACACAAGUUCUAACAAAGCGUCUAAACGAAGAACAAGUGUAAUAUGGAAGUACUUCAAAAUCAAAGAAGUUGAAGGACAAGACAGGUGAGCUGUUUGUACUAUAUGUAGGCAUUAUUAUUCUUGUGAUAAUUCUGGUAGAACAGAUCAUCUUAACAGACAUAUACAGAAACAUCAGAUAAGAGAAGGUAAAGAGACAAAAUAAUCAGAAUUUGCUUUUACUUCUAGUAAAGUUAAUACAUUUCAAUAUUCUCAUAAACGUAAUAGAAGAGAACUUACAUUAUACAUUAUAGGAGCUGAACAAUCAUAUAUACAUUUGUCGAAUGUCCAUAUUUUGAACACUAUAUGAAAACAGUUUUAAAUCCUGCAUAUAAAAAAACUUCUCGAAAUACUAGUCGCAAAGAUUCAAUAAAAGCAUUUCUUGAAUAUAUACAAAAUUUGAUUUCAAUUUUAGAAAAUUUAAAUUCAAAAAUUUCACUCACUUUCGAUAUUUGGAUAUCAAGAAAUGAACAUAGUUUUAUAUGUGUUAUGUACAGGAUUGAUUCUAAUUGGAUAUUACAAAAAUGAAUUAUUGGUUUUCAAAAACUUGAGUUUCUAUAUAAUGGUAUUCAUAUUGCUCAGGUAAUUAAAAUGUUUUGCAAAUUUAUAACAUUAGCCAAAAAAAACUUUUAAUUAGUUUCGAUAAUGCUAGCAAUAAUAGAACCGCAGUUCAAAUUUUGAAAAAUAAUUUGCAUUCUGAAAUGAAAAAUUAUUGUAUAAUAAAUGUGCAUGUCAUAUUAUAAAUUUGUAUGUUUAUGAGGGAUUAAAAAUAAUUAUUCCACAAAUUAAAAAAUUAAAAGAUUAUAUUAUAUUUAUUCAUAGUUUUUGUUCAAGAAAUAAGAUUUUAAAAGUUUAUGUAAACAGUUUGGCCAAAAAUAUAAAAAAUUUAUUUUUGAUGUUCAACAUCGAUAGAAUUCCACAUAUAAAAUGUUGCAAUAUUAUUAUGAGUAUAGAAAUAUUUUAUUUAUUUUUUGUAAUGAGAAAAUACAGCAUAACUUCUAUAAUGAAGAAUGAAACAUUAAACAAAUUCUUAUGAUUUUUUUUGCAACCAUUUUAUAAGUCAACCAAACCAAGUAUUUGAAAUAGGAUUAUGCUGCAUAACAAUAUGAGUCAAAAAAAUUAUAAGAAUUUGUUUAAUGUCUUAUUCUUCAUUAGUUAUGAAAUUAUUCUGCAUUUUCUCAUUACAAAAAAUAGAUAAAGUAUUUCUAUACUCAUAACAAUAUUGCAAUAUUUUAUAUGUAGAAUUCUAUCGAUGUUGAACAGCAAAAAUAAAUUUUUUAUAUUUUUGGCCUAACUGUCUACAUAAACUUUUAAAAUCUUAUUUUUUUGGACAAAAACUAUGAAUAAAUAUAAUAUAAUCUUUUAAUUUUUUAAUUUGUGGAAUAAUUAUUUUUAAUCCCUCGUGAACACACAAAUUUAUAAUAUGACAUACACAUUUAUUAUAUAAUAAUUUUUCAUUACAGAAUGCAAAUUAUUUUUCAAAAUUUGAACUGCGGUUCUAUUAUUGCUAGCAUUAUCGAAACUAAUUGAAAUUUUUUUUUUGGCUAAUGUUAUAAAUUUGCAAAAUAUUUUCAAUCACCUGAGCAAUAUGAAUACCAUUAUAUAGAAACUCAAGUUCUUGAAAACCAAUAAUUCAAUUUUGUAAUAUCCAAUUAAAAUCAAUCCAAUGUACAUAACACAUAUAAAACUAUGUUCAUUUCUUGAUGUCCAAAUAUCGAAAGUGAGUGAAAUUUUUGAAUUCAAAUUUUUUAAAAUUGAAAUCAAAUUUUGUCUAUAUUCAAGAAAUGCUUUUAUUGAAUCUUUGCGACUAGUAUUUCGAGAAGUUUUUUUAUAUGCAGGAUUUAAAACUGUUUUCAUAUAGUGUUCAAAAUAUGGACAUUCGGCAAAUGUAUAUAUAAUUGUUCAGCUCCUAUAAUGUAUAAUGUAAGUUCUCUUCUAUUACGUUUAUGAGACUAUUGAAAUGUAUUAACUUCACUAGAAGUAAAAGCAAAUUCUGAUUAUUUUGUCUCUUUACCUUCUUUUACCUGAUGUUUCUGUAUAUGUCUGUUAAGAUGACCUGUUCUACCAUAACUAUCACAAAAAUAAUGAAGCCUACAUAUAGUACAAACAGCUCACCUGUCUUGGCCUUCAACUUCUUUGAUUUUGAAGUACUUCCAUACUGCACUUGUUCUUCGUUUAGACGCUUUGUUAGAAUUUGUGUCUAAAUUUGGUUUAGGUUGCGAGCUGUCGCCACCUUGUGUAGAACCACUGACUCCAGUUUCUGAUUGAUUACUAAUAUAAUACUCAGGAGUAUAAUCAGUGCAAGAAAAAUCUAUAUGAAAAAAUUCAUCCAAUAUUAUUAAAAAAUAAACACAAUAAUACUAAAAAUAAUUAAAUAAAUUUUUUUUUUAAAAAAAGAGAUUAAUUAUGUGUUGAAAAUAAAAUUUUGUGUUGUGAAAUUGUGGAGAGACUUUGUAAAAAAAAAUUGUUGGAAAAAAUUAAAAAUAUUUGCAAAGUAAACUUGAGAAUUGAGAGAGAAAAAAUUUUAGAUUGAAAGUUUAAGAGUGGGAGGAAUUAGUGUUUGUAGAAGAAAAUGAAUGAAGAGUUAUUUGUUGUGAUGAAUUUUGAUGUUUGUAGUAGUAUUUAUAGAUAUAAAAAAUAGUUUUAAAAAAAUAUAAAAAANNNNNNNNNNNNNNNNNNNNNNNNNUGGGCCCGCCGUCCAAGGGUCUGGCGGUCUGCCAGAACCUUGGACAGUGGACUUGGGUGGGAGCCCUAAAGGCUAGGCCUACCUACCCUACCCUUUUAUAGGCCUGGCUAAGUCAAGCCAUAUAGGCCUGGCAUUGCCAGGCCUAACUUUGAACUUGAAAUUAGCGGAUCGUGCCGGCCCGGCAGGCACGGCCCAUACGGGUCGUGUCGUGCCGGGCUGCGGGUCGAACCCUCGGCCCGACACGGUCAAGACCCAACACGUGCCGUGCCGAGCCGGGGCGACGGGCCGCAAAAUUUCGGCCCGACUCGUCACGACCCGCAUAUCCGGGCCGGGCCGGACCGGUACGGUUGCUACAAUAACCAUUCCAGGUCAUUACUGUAGCAAUCGCGACGGUGGGCAACCCGACCCGUUUUACACCCUUGCAUUCGAGUCUGCUUUUAGUACAGGUGAUAGAAUAUUGGAUGAUUAUAAAAUCCGAUUUAACGAGAAUGCGAUCGAGAUUUUAGUCUGCUUAAACUAUUGGCGAGCUGCAGAUGAAACAGAAUCAAAUACCUAAAAAUAUACCAACACUUGCGACAUGCUAGAGUACAAUCGUCCUGAUCUCUUCACUAUUGUCUAUUAGUCAUUGCGGCUCUUCUUUUUUAUUUAGUACCACUCUUUACUAGGUGUCUUUUUUUUAAGUGAAAAAUGAUGUAAUGAAGAAAAAAAAUUAUAUUUGAUUUUUUUUUCUCUACUGUUUGCUAAUUGAUUGUAUAAAUAAUAUUAUAUUAUUUUAAAUAUAUUUUAAAUUUUUUAAAAUUUUGUACUUUUUUCUAUGUAAUUAUAUAAUAUGAUUAAUUCAAAUCUUUAUAUAUUUUUUGUAAUUAUUUUUUUAAAUAUCAAUUUCUCUUCAAAUAAUAAAAAAUUAUUAAAAAUAUUUAAUAAAAGAGUUUUUAAAAGGUUGGGUAUAAUUGUGUAAAUUAAACACUAUAAGUCAAAAAUUUAUAAUUUAAACUCUUUUUUAAAAAAAUUUUAAAAAUACAUAUUUUAUGUAAUAUGGUUAAUACAAACUUUAUAUAUUUUUUGUAAUUAUUUUUUUAAAUAUCAAUUUCUCUUCAAAUAAUAAAAAAUUAUUAAAAAUAUUUAAUAAAAGAGUUUUUAAAAGGUUGGGUAUAAUUGUGUAAAAUAAAAACUAUAAGUCAAAUUUAUAAUUUAAAAAAAUCUAUCUCUUUUUCUGAAAAAAAAAAUAUUUCUUGAAAAAACUGAGUGAAGGAAUUUUUGUGAAAAAUCUGGCGGCACGGCACGGCACGGCCCGUGCUAGGCGUGCCGGGGGGCCGCGCUGGAUUAAUAGACGCGUCAGACAGUGCCGAUCCUUGACCCGAAGUGGCCUGAAAAAUGUGGGUCGUGCCGCCAGUCGCGGUCCACAUUACAUCCCUAGUCCAACUCCAACAUCUCCAAAACAACAAAAAAAAAUUGCUGGUGUGGUAAGCUGGGUUCACUUAAGAUAAAAACGUAUGGAAUAUGAAUCAGAGAGCCCUCAAUUUAUAUUUAUAUCAUUAUUAUCCACUGAGCCCUCAAUCCAUAUCAUUAUCCACAUUUUUAUAUCAAAUCCUGACACGGAUUUAGAUAUUGAUCCCAUAUUUAAAUUAAUAUUUAAAUUCAGUUAUUAAAUUGGCACAAAUAUGAAUAAAAUAUUUUUAAAAUAUAUAAAGGUAAAAGAAAAAAAAGAGAAAACUUAAAAAAAACCCCUGUGGUUUCGUAGUUUCUCACUUUGCCCUCCUGUGAUUUAAAAUGUAUCAAUUUGCCUCCAUGUGGUUUCGUUUUUAUCUUUUGCGGUAGCUUUUUCGUUAAUAUUUCAUUAAAUUAUAGACAAAAAACUUCAGAUACCCAUCUAGAUUUAUUAAAUAUUUAUUUUAGUACCCUUUAAUUUUAACUUUAUCACUGAUUUAAGAAAAAAAAAUAAUGAAAUUGAUAAGAAAAAGAGAAAAAAAAAA
rnacentral:lncRNA from 1 species